GUCAGCUUCAAAUGAAUCAUAUCAAAAUAUUUUCUAACGUCAAAUAUUGUUUUCAAUUUGAUAGGAGUACUUUUUUAUAUCAUACCGGAAAGAUCUCAUCUACAGAAAGUUUGUUGCUGCCAUCGAGUCCAGUAUAUCCGUGACCAACGAUUCGAUGUUUUAGUAUUUAUCAGGAGUCAACGACGAGCCACUGUCGGGGAAAAAAAUACUUUCUUCCCUUUCUAAGCAACUACUAUGUCUAACACCAAAACAGAACCUGUGGCUUUGYGAUAGAAUUAUUUCCAAGGGAGUAAAGUUUUUUUCCUCUAAAACUUCUUUGUUUGAAGUUUAAAAACAAUUUCUUGU